AGCGGCGUACGGGUGCGGAACACGUGUGCAACCUGCCUUUAUCUGGGGGAUAGCCUUUCGAAAGGAAGAUUAAUACCCCAUAAUAUAUUUGUCGGCAUCGAUGGAUAUUGAAAACUCCGGUGGAUAGAGAUGGGCACGCGCAAGAUUAGAUAGUUGGUGAGGUAACGGCUCACCAAGUCUACGAUCUUUAGGGGGCCUGAGAGGGUGAUCCCCCACACUGGUACUGAGACACGGACCAGACUCCUACGGGAGGCAGCAGUGAGGAAUAUUGGACAAUGGGUGAGAGCCUGAUCCAGCCAUCCCGCGUGAAGGACGACGGCCCUAUGGGUUGUAAACUUCUUUUGUAUAGGGAUAAACCUACCCUCGUGAGGGUAGCUGAAGGUACUAUACGAAUAAGCACCGGCUAACUCCGUGCCAGCAGCCGCGGUAAUACGGAGGGUGCAAGCGUUAUCCGGAUUUAUUGGGUUUAAAGGGUCCGUAGGCGGAUCUGUAAGUCAGUGGUGAAAUCUCACAGCUUAACUGUGAAACUGCCAUUGAUACUGCAGGUCUUGAGUG
rnacentral:rRNA from 1 species